CAAUCUGUGAAUGGUCAAACAUAUGUGAGAUUAGUCACAGUUCAAGGAACUAAAGUGAUUCAAAAACAAAGUUACCUGCGUCGAAUUACAAAUUUGUUGUUUCUAAUUUGUGUUCAAAAUAAAAAAGAAACAUAAACGGAAACAAAUAACGAAAUUGUUUUUUGAGUUUGAUAGUUUAGCUGAAGAGUAGAUCAGAUGAACUGAUGUCAAGUCGUACUCAAGCACUCCCACGUAAUUAAAUAUCUCAGCUCGACUAUAUCGUUCAAAUAUAAUCACAAACUAAGCCGCAAUGAACAUGUUGCCAGGUGGGUAAAUUGUGUAGCCAAUUGUUUGUGUUUAACGAACGAAAGCAAAGAUGGGAAUGGAUAAAGCAUGCGUUAAAUACUUAUUGAACGUACUCCAUGGAAUUGCUGGAGAUGCAACUGACGGUCAUAUCUGCGCAGCCCUCAUCGCUGGGCGAAACAUCUGACUGGGUCUGCGUAUCGUUCGUUUCGGACUUGAUAUAACGACCUAGGAUCAAAGAUACUCAUUAAUCUAUGGUCACGGAGUUGCUUCCACGAUUUUCGACUUACCUUGCACAAGUUUCAAGCACUUUAGCAUGAGUUCCUGCUCGCGUUGAUUGUACUCACGCUCUGGCAGCAUCUGCUGCGCGUCCUUGACUGGCGUUUGGGGCGACUGUGGGAUAACCAUGUGCACGGGCGAAGUGGCCGCACGGGCAGCCAGAUUGCAAACGUCCUUUUCGGUCUUGGUUGUCGGAUUGGGAUUGGUGUCCAUGCCCAGGCGCUCACGCAGCAGCAGCAAAUGACGCAUGCGUCCCACUUCCUCCAGACGAGUCAGCUUCUCCAGUUCCCACUGAUGAUCGAAGAUCAGCGAAUCGCCGCGUGGCCGCCAGCCAUGCAGAUUCUCCUCGCCACGCACAUACGUGGAGCUGGUGUCCAGGACACGGCGCUGUCGGCGCUGAACACCUAUAAAGCGGAUCGUGGAGAUAAAAGAGAUAAGCAUAGUGAAUGAGAUAUUCAAGACUUGAGCGAAAACAAAGGACGAGUACAACUACAAUGAGAAUUGCUACCUGGACUACCUGCUUCGGAUGCUCUGCGCAGCGACAGCUCGUAGACGCCAGAGAGCCGAUUGGCCUCCGGAUUGCGGUACUGGCCGGAGAAUAGAUGCUUUAGUGAGCGCGGACCGAUGCGUGCAUCGCGUCCAUAGAUGACCAUGCUGAGAUCCUUGG